UCAUAGAGGGUGAGAAUCCCGUAUUUGACCAUUAUUUUCAGCUGUGUGAUACACUUUCAAAGAGUCGGAUUGUUUGGGAAUGCAGUCCAAAAUGGGUGGUAAAUUUCAUCUAAAGCUAAAUAUUGGCGAGAGACCGAUAGCGAACAAGUACCGUGAGGGAAAGAUGAAAAGAACUUUGAAAAGAGAGUUAAACAGUACGUGAAAUUGUCAAAAGGGAAGCGUUUGACACCAGUGUUGUUUUCUCGAAAAUCAAUUAAAAAAAGUUGGAUUUUGUGUUGUAUUGACCUUAACAGCUUGCUUCACUCUUUUCCUGCUUUUUUUUAAUGCACUUUUCGUUUAACAAGUCAACAUCAGUUUCUUUUGUUGCAAAAGGGUCAUUGGAAGGUGGCUUUCUCUUCGGAGAAAGUGUUUAUAGCCUUUGAUCUCUGCAAUCGGAGAGACUGAGGUCUGCAGCGCAGAUCCUUCGGGGUUAGAUACAUUUGUGCUAAGCUACAGCUUUUCAUAGACAACUUGUUGACUAUGUUUAGUCUUGUGACUUACCCGCUUAUGCUAUUUUACCUACGCUUAGGAUGUUGA
rnacentral:rRNA from 1 species